AUGCAGAAAACAGCUAUCCAGUUGAAAGACUCUGCUGCUACUUUUGUACCUUCAGAGACACAGUUAGUCAAAGUAGAUGAGAAGCCAACAAAAGAUACACAAAGGGGAGAAAAGCAGAGAAGCGAGCUUCAUGCCUUCUCCAUUAUCUUCUGUCCAGGAGGAAGCACAGGACAAUCUGUGAAACAAACAACUGGCAUUAUGACUGUUACUGAGGGACAACUUGUCUCUCUCCAUUGUUCUUAUGAAGCACGGUUUAGAGACACACAUUACUUAUUCUGGUACAUUCAGCCUCCUGAUCAACCUCCAAAAUCCCUUUUGGCAUCUUAUUCAAAACAAGCUCAACAAGCUCAAGGAUUCCAAGCUACUCACAUUCCCCAUGACAACAAGCAAAACGGGACUUUCAACAUGCAGAAACCAGCCAUCCAGUUGAAGGACUCUGCUGUCUACUUCUGUGCAUUACAAGAGACACAGUGA